rnacentral:rRNA from 1 species
CCCGCUGAACUUAAGCAUAUCAAUAAGCGGAGGAAAAGAAACUAACAAGGAUUCCCUUAGUAGCGGCGAGCGAAGCGGGAAGAGCUCAAAUUUGAAAGCUGGCCCCCUCGGGGUCCGCAUUGUAAUUUGCAGAGGAUGCUUCGGGAGUGGCCCCCAUCUAAGUGCUCUGGAACGGGCCGUCAUAGAGGGUGAGAAUCCCGUAUGGGAUGGGGUGUCCGCGACCAUGUGAAGCUCCUUCAACGAGUCGAGUUGUUUGGGAAUGCAGCUCUAAAUGGGUGGUAAAUUUCAUCUAAAGCUAAAUAUUGGCCGGAGACCGAUAGCGCACAAGUAGAGUGAUCGAAAGAUGAAAAGCACUUUGAAAAGAGAGUUAAAAAGCACGUGAAAUUGUUGAAAGGGAAGCGCUUGCGACCAGACUCGCCUGCGGGGUUCAGCCGGUAUUCGUACCGGUGUACUUCCCCGUGGGCGGGCCAGCGUCGGUUUGGGCGGCCGGUCAAAGGCCCUCGGAAUGUAACGCCUCUCGGGGCGUCUUAUAGCCGAGGGUGCCAUGCGGCCAGCCCGGACCGAGGAACGCGCUUCGGCACGGACGCUGGCAUAAUGGUCGUAAGCGACCCGUCUUGAAACACGG